AGCAGUAGCCACGGGAACACGGAGGGUGCAAGCGUUAAUCGGAAUUACUGGGCGUAAAGCGCACGCAGGCGGUCUGACAAGUCAGAUGUGAAAUCCCCGGGCUUAACCUGGGAACUGCAUUUGAAACUGUCAGGCUGGAGUCUUGUAGAGGGGGGUAGAAUUCCAGGUGUAGCGGUGAAAUGCGUAGAGAUCUGGAGGAAUACCGGUGGCGAAGGCGGCCCCCUGGACAAAGACUGACGCUCAGGUGCGAAAGCGUGGGGAGCAAACAGGAUUAGAUACCCCUGUAGUCCCUGUCUCUUAUAC
rnacentral:rRNA from 1 species